UCUUGAAAGUAAAUAGACCUGAGUACUAUGAAUAAUUAAAUUUAAAACUCAAAGGACUUGGCGGUGUCUUAGACCAUUUAGGGGAACCUGUCUCUUAAUCGAUAAUCCGCGUUAUACCUGACCUUUUUUUGUAAACAGUUUGUAUACCGUUGUCGUCAGGUAACUUUUUAGAAAAUUGAAGUUAGCAAUAUAAAUUUUAUUUAAUACGUCAAAUCAAGGUGCAGCUAAUAAAAAGGGGAGGAUGGGUUACAAUUAUUAUUUAUAAUUACGGAAGGAGGACUUAAAAGUAAAUUAGAUAUGAAUAAUUUGAAUGAGGCUCUGAGACGUGU
rnacentral:rRNA from 1 species